CAACGCUGCACUGUUACUGCUCUGCCAGGCUUCUCUCUCUCUCCCUCCAAAAAUAGAAAAACCGUAUCGAAUUCUGAGAUCUAAUCUCUCUAUCUCCUUUCCUUCCUCUCGGUUCUUUUUCUCUUACGCGUUUCUUCUUAUAGAACACAGCAUCUCUCUUUGCCCCAGAUCUCCCGUGCAUAUCUAGGACCCUGCCCAUUCCUUAUUGAAUUAAACCCAGUUGAUCGGUCAGUCUUCAUACCAGAUAAAUCCCAAGUGAAUUUGUAUUGCCUCUUUUUUUUUUUUUUUUUUUUUUUUUUUUUUUUUUUUUUUUUUUUUUUUUUUUUUUUUUUUUUUUUUUUUUUUUUUUUUUUUUUGUGAGAUUGGUAUGAGGUUGUUAUAGUGGGAUGAUAUUUGUAUUAUGAUUGUGUAGUGUGUGAGUGAGUGGGAAAAUCUGUUUGAAUUUUUCAGAAUUAGGUAUACAAUGAGGGGAAGAUCUGAUGUGAGCCAGAAGAAGCGAUUGAUCACUUCUUUCUGUGUAGUGGCAAUCUUUCUUGGAUUCAUAUACUUUUAUUAUGGAUCCAUUUUUGGCUCUCAAAGCCGUGGUGCAGCAGCUAUAGAAUAUGGCAGCAAGUCCUUGAGAAAA
rnacentral:misc_RNA from 1 species